ACGAGGCUGGGUAUACACUCCCACCCAUGUUACUUACCUAACUGUUGCCUCUGGCGGGGUCCUCGGACCACCGGGUUCGUAGCCCGGACCAGGCGCCCGCCAGGAGGACCUACCAAACUCUGUCUGUAGUCCCUCCGACGUAUUUCUUACGCUCUGAGCUAAAUAUCAAAUGAUCA
rnacentral:misc_RNA from 1 species